CAUCAGUUUUGAGCAGUCAGGAUUGUUUGGAUUUCCAUGAGCCUCCCAGUUUGGAUACGGCUUUAUUGCCGGGCUUGACUCUUUUGGAGGAAAGGGCAGUGUACCUAAGCUAGCAGGCACACCAUUCUUCCAACGAGGAGUUGUCACAAACAGGCGGUUAUUAUGGACAUCAAUGCCUAAAGACAGUAAAUUCAGCGCAGUAGAAUAACACAUAAAGCCAGAUUAUGAUAAUCCUUUAUGUAACAGUCUGUAACAGCCAGAAGGAAGCGUUUCUGACCAUGUUCUAUAUGGUCAUAUACAAUAUUCUUUAUAAGGAUCAAUAGCCAAGUCGAACUGGCCAUGUACGUCGAUCUUUAUUUGCAUUUGCAUUUUCCCUAGCUGUGUAACGGGAUUCUGAUAGUCGGGGAUCUCGACUAUAGCAUUAGAGAUAAUGCUAGGAUUUAUUCAUCAAUAUUAAAGAUAUGGAUGAGACGCACUGAAU
ensembl:ncRNA asRNA:CR46065 antisense RNA:CR46065